AAGUCGUAACAAGGUUUCCGUAGGUGAACCUGCGGAAGGAUCAUUAACACGUAUCCAAACGUUAAAAACCCUGUGAACUUUCAUGCAGCUCCCGUAACCCGCAAGGAACAGCAAUUUGGUGCCAAGCGCGUGACCACUAGGCGAGACAUUCGUGCAAGGGGUGGUUAGGGGGCAUAUAGCCCUGUGACAUGUUUGCCGGCCGGUGAUCGACCUCUAGCAACCGUGAGGCGUUAUCCUUACACAGAUAGUGACAAUGUCAUUUCACUACUGCUUGGGGAAGCCAUGCCACUGACUCUAAGCUACGACCGUAACUGUACAGAGGUCCCGAAUCAAAACUGUAUGCCCCCUAACCACCCCUUGCACGAAUGUCUCGCCUAGUGGUCACGCGCUUGGCACCAAAACGAACAACUGUUAACAAUGGAUAUCUUGGUUCUC
rnacentral:misc_RNA from 1 species